rnacentral:tRNA from 1 species
CCACCGGUAGCUUAAUAGUCUACAAGCUCUCUGGCCUUGUAACUAGAAGGUCCUGGGUUCAAACCCCAGUGGGUGCG